rnacentral:rRNA from 1 species
AUUGAACACUGGCGGCUGGCCUCACACAUGCAAUUAGAGAGGAGCGGCGGACGGGUGAGUAAUGCCUAGGAAUUUGCCUGGUAGUGGGGGCUAACGUCCGGAAAAGGGCGCUAAUACUGCCUACUAUCAGAUGAGUCUAGGUCGGAUUAGCUAGUUGGUGGGGUAAAGGCCUACCAAGGCGACGAUCCGUAACUGGGCUGAGAGGAUGAUCAGUCACACUGGAACUGAGACACGGUCCAGACUCCUACGGGAGGCAGCAGUGGGGAAUAUUGGACAAUGGGCGAAAGCCUGAUCCAGCCAUGCCGCGUGUGUGAAGAAGGUCUUCGGAUUGUAAAGCACUUUAAGUUGGGAGGCGUUACCAACAGAAUAAGCACCGGCUAACUCCGUGCCAGCAGCCGCGGUAAUAC